rnacentral:rRNA from 1 species
UACAGAGGGUGCGAGCGUUAAUCGGAAUUACUGGGCGUAAAGCGUGCGUAGACGGCUAUCUAAGUCGGGUGUGAAAGCCCCGGGCUCAACCUGGGAAUUGCAUUCGAGACUGAAUAGCUAGGGUACGGUAGAGGGAAGCGGAAUUUCCGGUGUAGCGGUGAAAUGCGUAGAUAUCAGGAGGAACACCCAUGGCGAAGGCAGCUUCCUGGGUCCAAUCUGACGCUGAGGCGCGAAAGCGUGGGGAGCGAACGGG